GGAUGUGAGGGUGAUCUGGCUGCGACAUCUGUCACCCCAUUGAUCGCCAGGGUUGAUUCGGCUGAUCUGGCUGGCUAGGCGGGUGUCCCCCUCCUCCCUCACCGCUCUAUGUGCGUCCCUUCCAAAGCUGCGCGCUUGGUGGAAGAGGACGACCUUCCUCGAUAGAGGGGAGGACCGUUCUUCGGUCAAGGGUAUAAGAGUAGCUGCGCUCUCCUGCUAGAACCUCCAAACAAGCUCUCAAGAGUCACUUAUGGUUUGUCUCCCUCCCCAUCCCAUCUUGUUUCAUUUAU
rnacentral:snRNA from 1 species